rnacentral:lncRNA from 1 species
UGUUGAGCUGACCUCAUCUGAUGAGCUCCUCGAUCUCAUUUCGGAGCUGAAUACACUCCUCCAUGUCGUGGCCGUGGUCAUGAUGAUAGAGGCAGAACUUGUUAGGGUUGCACUUCCCAAGGUGUGUGCGUAUCCUUUCCGGCCUUGGCAGUUGCUCCCUAAUCUCCAUCAGCACUUGAGUUUUUGGAGUAUUGAGAGGGGCGUAGCUGUGGAAUCUUCCUGGAGGAGAGCUCUGUCGAACUUUGUGAUCUGAACUUCUCUGUCUAUGAG